CACGGCUGAAAGCCCAGACUGUCCAAACAGGAAACCUGGAGAAACACGGCUUAUAGUGAGCGGAUUUCUGCACUGUUACCUCCUGCAGAUGUGAUAGGCCACGAUGACGAGGCAACUCAAGAGUCCACACAGAGGAAUGGAGGAGAAAGGAAAUAAAUCCAGAAGACUGUCAAUGUUCAAGGCCAAGUCUGGUCCUAAGAUGGAGGACGGGGCACUUCCUG